GAAAUGCGAUAAGUAAUGUGAAUUGUAGAAUUCAGUGAAUCAUCGAAUCUUUGAACGCACCUUGCGCUCCUUGGUAUUCCUUGGAGCAUGCCUGUUUGAGUAUCAUGAAAUCUUCAAAGCAAAUCUUUUGUUAACUCAAUUGGUUUCUACUUUGGUAUUGGAGGUCUUUGCAGCUUCACACCUGCUCCUCUUUGUUCAUUAGCUGGAUCUCAGUGUUAUGCUUGGUUCCACUCGGCGUGAUAAGUUAUCUAUCGCUGAGGACACUGUAAAAGGUGGCCAAGGUAAAUGCAGAUGAACCGCUUCUAAUAGUCCAUUGACUUGGACAAUACUUUUAUGAUCUGAUCUCAAAUCAGGUAGGACUACCCGCUGAACUUAAGC
rnacentral:misc_RNA from 1 species